GGUUGAUAUUCCUGUACCACCUAUAAUCGUUUUAAUCGAUGGGGGGACGCAGUAGGAUAGGCGAAGCGUGCGAUUGGAUUGCACGUCUAAGCAGUAAGGCUGAGUAUUAGGCAAAUCCGGUACUCGUUAAGGCUGAGCUGUGAUGGGGAGAAGACAUUGUGUCUUCGAGUCGUUGAUUUCACACUGCCGAGAAAAGCCUCUAGAUAGAAAAUAGGUGCCCGUACCGCAAACCGACACAGGUAGUCAAGAUGAGAAUUCUAAGGUGAGCGAGCGAACUCUCGUUAAGGAACUCGGCAAAAUGACCCCGUAACUUCGGGAGAAGGGGUGCUCUUUAGGGUUAACGCCCAGAAGAGCCGCAGUGAAUAGGCCCAAGCGACUGUUUAUCAAAAACACAGGUCUCUGCUAAACCGUAAGGUGAUGUAUAGGGGCUGACGCCUGCCCGGUGCUGGAAGGUUAAGAGGAGUGGUUAGCUUCUGCGAAGCUACGAAUCGAAGCCCCAGUAAACGGCGGCCGUAACUAUAACGGUCCUAAGGUAGCGAAAUUCCUUGUCGGGUAAGUUCCGACCCGCACGAAAGGCGUAACGAUUUGGGCACUGUCUCAACGAGAGACUCGGUGAAAUCAUAGUACCUGUGAAGAUGCAGGUUACCCGCGACAGGACGGAAAGACCCCGUGGAGCUUUACUGUAGCCUGAUAUUGAAAUUCGGCACAGCUUGUACAGGAUAGGUAGGAGCCUUUGAAACGUGAGCGCUAGCUUACGUGGAGGCGCUGGUGGGAUACUACCCUAGCUGUGUUGGCUUUCUAACCCGCACCACUUAUCGUGGUGGGAGACAGUGUCAGGCGGGCAGUUUGACUGGGGCGGUCGCCUCCUAAAAGGUAACGGAGGCGCUCAAAGGUUCCCUCAGAAUGGUUGGAAAUCAUUCAUAGAGUGUAAAGGCAUAAGGGAGCUUGACUGCGAGACCUAC
rnacentral:rRNA from 1 species